rnacentral:misc_RNA from 1 species
GAUGAAGAACGCAGCGAAAUGCGAUAAGUAAUGUGAACUGCAGAAUUCAGUGAAUCAUCGAAUCUUUGAACGCACAUUGCGCCCGCCAGUAUUCUGGCGGGCAUGCCUGUUCGAGCGUCAUUACAACCCUCAGGCCCCCGGGCCUGGCGUUGGGGAUCGGCGGAGCCCCCCGUGGGCACACGCCGUCCCCCAAAUACAGUGGCGGUCCCGCCGCAGCUUCCAUCGCGUAGUAGCUAACACCUCGCGACUGGAGAGCGGCGCGGCCACGCCGUAAAACACCCAACUCUUCUGAAGUUGACCUCGAAUCAGGUAGGAAUACCCGCUGAACUUAAGCAUAUCAAUAAGCGGAGGA